GUGAAUCAUCGAAUCUUUGAACGCACAUUGCGCCUCCCUUAACCGGGGGGCAUGCCUGUCUGAGCGUCAUUUAAACCUAUGGGCCCGAAUGGGUUCCGUGUUGGGCCUCGCCCCUCUUUGAGAGGCGUCGCCUUAAAGGCAUCGGCUUUAUGGAGCGGACGGGAUCCUUUUGGACUGACCGUUUCAUGGCUGGAAUUUGACUCUGACUUGACCUCAGAUCAGGUAGGGACACCGCCUGAACUUAAGCAUAUCAAUAAGCGGAGGA
rnacentral:misc_RNA from 1 species